rnacentral:rRNA from 1 species
CUUGGUCAUUUAGAGGAAGUAAAAGUCGUAACAAGGUCUCCGUUGGUGAACCAGCGGAGGGAUCAUUACUGAGUUAUCCAACUCCCAAACCCCUGUGAACAUACCUAUGUUGCUUCGGCGGGUCGUCCCGCGGCGCGCCCUCGUGGCGUGACCCGGACCCAGGCGCCCGCCGGGGAACCAAACUCUUGUCUUCCAGUGUCUCCUCUGAGUGGCAUAAGCAAAAAUAAACAAAACUUUCAGCAACGGAUCUCUUGGUUCUGGCAUCGAUGAAGAACGCAGC